rnacentral:lncRNA from 1 species
GGACUUUCAUUUUUUUCUGAUACACAUAUUUUUCAUUACAGAAAUACACAGAAGCAGUCUGAUGUCUGCACUCCUCUUCAGAUCACCACCGGAGAGCCAAGCCAGCCUCCCAUCCCAUGGGAUUAACAGACAUGCCAGAAAAUCGGGAGUUAAAAAGAGACUGGGUCUUCAAAGCUGUAUGAUGAAGAUAGCAUAGCUGGAGGCCGGAGGCCGGAGUCGGGGAGGCAGGCUGACCCUGAGACUCUGUGGUCAGCCGAGAGACCAAGAAGUCAGAACCAGAAAGACAGGGUCACCAAGCUACUGAGACAGCCAAUAGUCUGUCCUGCUCUGAAAAUACGACCAGGGCCUCUCCCUGCCAUAGCACAUGCCUAGAACGCCCGCUGCCAUGACAGGGUCACAUUGGCUGUGUCAGCUUACAAAAUCAGCCCCAAGGUGGGGAGUACAAUGCGACGCUAAGGCUCCGUGGUGUGUGCCAAGGUGUGGUGGAGCGCAGGGCAGCUGAGACUCCACCUCUACAGGACGUCAAGAGGAGGCCCCCAUGGCAGAUGCCGUAAAAGCUGUGCCCCUUUGUCCUUAGUUGGAGUCAGCCUGGAGCUUUUGUCCUCGUGGGCUUCCUCUUAGGAGCCAGCUUACAGCUGAGGGGCCUCAUUCCUGUCUUACUUGUGCUUCUGUGAAAUUCUGAUACAAAGAACCCCGGGAGGCCGCACGGGGAUCUGCCCCUGCCCCGCCUGGGCAGCUAGCCUCUGUCCCCACACAGCGUCUCCUCCGCUUGUGGUCCAGCCACCAGUCCCUCUCACCUGUCUCGCCCCUGGGCCCUCGAGGUCCUGCUCUUCACCUCACACCUCAUUUCCAAGAUGUCUGCACCUCGACAUCCAAUCCCUUGGCAUCUCUCUCCCUGAAAAGGCCUUUCCCAGGGGGAGCAUCUGGUCUUCACUCUGCUCUGAGUCCCCACGGCCCCAAGCCCCCCCGCAGGUCCUCAAAACUGCUCCCGGCCCUUUAUUUUUACGUGUCUGUCUUCUGCAGUGCUGGGAUGAACCCGGGGUCUCCCUCUGGUCCUUUAAGUCUCGGCGCCCCAGGCUGGUCCCUGCCACCCUUCCUUCUGCCCUGGUGGAGUCCGCCUGUCUCUAGGUUUGCAGGCCACACCUACAGCUGCCGUGGGAAACUGAGACAGCCCCGCCCAGGGCUAUGUGGGUGCAGGCCGCCGGGCGGGCGCUGGCUUCCUGUGGCUGUGACAAAUGGCCGGCCGGCUGCUCCAUCCUUCUGAUGGCCAGGCCAACCUCGCCCUACCCUCUCCACCACCCCAACAGCUGGAGCCCAGUUUGCCCACUCCCCCAAACCCCAGCAUUGUUUUUUUUUAAUAUUUAUUUAUUUUCAGGUGUAGAUGGACACAACACAAUGCCUUAUUUUUAUGUGGUGCUGAGGAUGUCACCCAGGUCCCUCCCGUGCUAGGCGAGCGCUCCACCGCUGAGCCACAGUCCCCGCCCCAUCCAGCAUUGGAUUUUGAGUGACAGGAUUCUGUCUCCCCUGCUUCUCAGGCUGCAGCUAGCAACAGUGAAUCUUCCCUUCCCUCCUCCCUGCUGGCCUUCCUUAUUUCCUUUAACUAUUUUUUUAGGGGAGGUACCAGGGAUCGAACUCAGGAGCACUCGACCACUGAGCCCCAUCCCCAGCCCUAUUUUGUAUUUUAUUUAGUGACAGGGUCUCACUGAGUUGCUUAGGGCCUCACUUUUGCUGAGGCUGGCUUUGAACUCAUGAUCCUCCUGCCUCAGCCUCCCAAGCCACUGGGAUUACUGGCAUGCACCACGGUGCCCAGCUCUUUAAACUAUUUUUUAAAAUAGGAAAGCUACACCUAUGUUUAUACACCUGUGUACAUAACAUCAUUAUUCACAAUUACCCAAAAGUGGAAGCCACAUAACUGUUCAUCAAUUAAUAAUUUAAAAGUGGUCCUUCCAUACAACGGAGUAUUAUUCAGCCAUGAAAAUGAGCAAGACAAGCUGG